UAACACAUGCAAGUCGAACGGUAACAUGGAUUGCUUGCAAUCUGAUGACGAGUGGCGCACGGGUGCGUAACGCGUAUGCAAUCUACCUUUUACAGGAGAAUAGCCCAGAGAAAUUUGGAAUAAUGCUCCAUAAUAUCAUUUAUCAGCAUUGGUUUAUGAUUAAAGCUCCGGCGGUAAAAGAUGAGCAUGCGUUCUAUUAGCUAGUAGGUGAGGUAACGGCUCACCUAGGCUACGAUAGAUAGGGGCCCUGAGAGGGGGAUCCCCCACACUGGUACUGAGACACGGACCAGACUCCUACGGGAGGCAGCAGUGAGGAAUAUUGGACAAUGGAGGAAACUCUGAUCCAGCCAUGCCGCGUGCAGGAUGACUGCCCUAUGGGUUGUAAACUGCUUUUAUAUAGGAAGAAACACUCCCACGUGUGGGGGCUUGACGGUACUAUAUGAAUAAGGAUCGGCUAACUCCGUGCCAGCAGCCGCGGUAAUACGGAGGAUCCAAGCGUUAUCCGGAAUCAUUGGGUUUAAAGGGUCCGCAGGCGGCCUGUUAAGUCAGAGGUGAAAUCCUACAGCUCAACUGUAGAACUGCCUUUGAUACUGAUAGGCUUGAGUUAUUGUGAAGUGGUUAGAAUGUGUGGUGUAGCGGUGAAAUGCUUAGAUAUCACACAGAAUACCCU
rnacentral:rRNA from 1 species